ensembl:lncRNA
AACAGACUUAUUGAGAACGAGGCUUUUGUUGUACUCAUCGCAGAUUUUGCACUGUGUCACUUUGCCUGUCUUGCUGAAAAGUGCUCUUUUUCACACAAAAAAAAGAAUGUCACGUAGGGAGCGAUAAACUCAGACUUUGUCUUAAUCUGUCCGUUUAAUCUGUGUCUGAACUGAAGCAUCGUCCGCCUCUCCUGUCCGAAGACGGGGACACAUCGAGCAGCGUGCUUGACAUCUUCCUGAAGGUAAAAGGAGACACGAGAGAAUGACGACCGGCGGUGGCGCGGGGGAAUUUCUGCCGACGACACAGGACGAUGUUGCAGUGUGCCGGAGUGAUAUGGUUGCACUAGAUUUAUAAGUAUAUUUGUUUAAAUGUGUGCUUUGUGUCUUUUAUUUUCUUAUUUUCUAAAGACUUUUAUUUUGGUUACCUGUAUUCUGCUGUGGGUGAGGGAAUUAUAAUGACAAUCCGGGUGAUUAAUUAAUUGUAUAAUGUCGAAGUGUGUUAAUGUUUCUGGUUAUGUGAAAUAUGUUUCAGUAUUUUUGUUUGUUUAAAUUUAUGGUUAUUGUAAAAAGUUAAGUGGGUUAUAAAACUUUGAUCACCCCCCGACAGUUGUUUGGAUGCGGCCGUGUCCUUGGGUUAGUGGGUUGGAGACCCCGUUCAGGUCUCUUGGACACAUGGCGGGAGUUGUGAGAGGUGCGUUGGGUGGCUGCGCAAAAGGUAUUUCUUUUUUCGUUAUAAUUUAUGCACAUAUUAGGAAUAUUUUGUAUGUGUUAUUAUUUAUUGUGAAUUAUUAUUUUGUGAAUAUAUUUUUUUAUGUUCUUAUAAUACUCUAUUGUAGAGAGAGGUGCAGAAAGACGCAAUGUGUGACGCGAUGUUCUGACGCGACCUUGCUUUUGUACAGGUAUGCAGUAUUAUAAAUUGUACAUACUUUAUGUUAUAGUUAAGUUCUCUUGGACACAUGGCGUGAGUUAUGAGACAGAGAGGUGCAGAAAGACAAAAUGUGUGACGCAAUAUUCUGACGAGACCUUGCUUUUGUACAGAAUACACGUGGCACAGCAAAUCUCUUGGUGUCAGCUUAUCAGUUGCGGUUCGAGAAACGAAAUAAAAAAAAAAAAGAAGAAGAACCGCUACAAACUGGUGCCGAUCAACUGGUUGGCCGAUUGCAGACCGCCGGAGGACCGCUGGAUGUGGUUCGCAGAGACGUUCACCGCGACGCCUAACCGCAGUUCGUCUGGAGAACUGUUAUGCCAUCCUGAACUUCAACACCAUAUCAGAGGUCAUGGAGAAUCACUACAGUCGCAUACCCAUCUACAAUGAAGACCGGAC